GACUUAAGCAUAUCAAUAAGCGGAGGAAAAGAAACCAACAGGGAUUGCCUUAGUAACUGCGAGUGAAGCGGCAAAAGCUCAAAUUUGAAAUCUGUCGCCUCCGGCGUCCGAGUUGUAAUUUGGAGAGGCAUCUUCGGGGGGAGCGCCGGCCUAAGUUCCUUGGAACAGGACGUCACAGAGGGUGAGAAUCCCGUGUUCGGCCGGCUGCCUCCUUCCAUGUGAAGUGCCUUCGACGAGUCGAGUUGUUUGGGAAUGCAGCUCUAAAUGGGUGGUAAACUCCAUCUAAAGCUAAAUAUUGGCGGGAGACCGAUAGCGCACAAGUAGAGUGAUCGAAAGAUGAAAAGCACUUUGAAAAGAGAGUUAAAAAGUACGUGAAAUUGUUGAAAGGGAAGCGCUUGAGACCAGACUCGGCUGGAGGUGAUCAGGCUCGGUUCUCCGGGCUGCACUUGCCUCUGGUCGGGCCAGCAUCGGUUGUGACGGUGGGAUAAAGGCCUGGGGAAUGUGGCUCCUCUCGGGGAGUGUUAUAGCCCCGGGUGCCAUGCCACCUGCCGCGACCGAGGACCGCGCUUCGGCUAGGAUGCUGGCGUAAUGGUCUUCAGCGACCCGUCUUGAAACACGGACCAAGGAGUCUAACAUCUAUGCGAGUGUUCGGGUGGAAAACCCCUGCGCGUAAUGAAAGUGAACGGAGGUGUGAAGCCGUGAGGCCGCAACAUCGACCGAUCCUGAUGUCUUCGGAUGGAUUUGAGUAGGAGCAUAGCUGUUGGACCCGAAAGAUGGUGAACUAUGCCUGAAUAGGGUGAAGCCAGAGGAAACUCUGGUGGAGGCUCGCAGCGGUUCUGACGUGCAAAUCGAUCGUCAAAUUUGGGUAUAGGGGCGAAAGACUAAUCGAACCAUCUAGUAGCUGGUUCCUGCCGAGUCUCCCCUCAGAGAAUUA
rnacentral:rRNA from 1 species